rnacentral:rRNA from 1 species
CAGUAGCCGCGGGAAUACGGAGGGUGCAAGCGUUAAUCGGAAUUACUGGGCGUAAAGCGCACGCAGGCGGUCUGACAAGUCAGAUGUGAAAUCCCCGGGCUUAACCUGGGAACUGCAUUUGAAACUGUCAGGCUGGAGUCUUGUAGAGGGGGGUAGAAUUCCAGGUGUAGCGGUGAAAUGCGUAGAGAUCUGGAGGAAUACCGGUGGCGAAGGCGGCCCCCUGGACAAAGACUGACGCUCAGGUGCGAAAGCGUGGGGAGCAAACAGGAUUAGAUACCGUGUAGUCCCUGUCUCUUAUACA